rnacentral:rRNA from 1 species
UAGGGAAUCUUCGGCAAUGGACGAAAGUCUGACCGAGCAACGCCGCGUGAGUGAAGAAGGUUUUCGGAUCGUAAAACUCUGUUGUUAGAGAAGAACAAGGACGUUAGUAACUGAACGUCCCCUGACGGUAUCUAACCAGAAAGCCACGGCUAACUACGUGCCAGCAGCCGCGGUAAUACGUAGGUGGCAAGCGUUGUCCGGAUUUAUUGGGCGUAAAGCGAGCGCAGGCGGUUUCUUAAGUCUGAUGUGAAAGCCCCCGGCUCAACCGGGGAGGGUCAUUGGAAACUGGGAGACUUGAGUGCAGAAGAGGAGAAUGGAAUUCCAUGUGUAGCGGUGAAAUGCGUAUAUAUAUGGAGGAACGCCAGUGGCGAAGGCGGCUCUCUGGUCUGUAACUGACGCUGAGGCUCGAAAGCGUGGGGAGCAAACAGG